CCGACCUCAGAUCGGACGAGAUUACCCGCUGAAUUUAAGCAUAUCACUAAGCGGAGGAAAAGAAACUAACAAGGAUUCCCUCAGUAACGGCGAGUGAAGCGGGACCAGCCCAUCACCGAAUCCCCCGGCCUUCGGCCAGCGGGAGCUGUGGUGUUCGAGACGUCACCUGCCGUCUCGCCGGUCGCCGAAGUCCUCCUGAUCGGGGCCUCUCCCAGAGCGGGUGUCAGGCCUUUUCUGGCGACCGGUGGGUCGGCUGCGAGCGUCCUAAGAGUCGGGUUGUUUGGGAAUGC
rnacentral:rRNA from 1 species